ACGGUGGAGUCGCGAAAGUAACCUGCCUGCUUGCGGGGGAUCAAUAUUGAAAAAUAACUGUAAUACCUCAUAACUCCUUUAUUGCUUGAAUAACUCUUGAAAGGUGUUCAUGCAGGGAACCAACUGGACCUGCCUUGUAUUCCUAGGGGGUGGGCCUCGGCUCACUAUGACGACUAUACGUACUGAAACGAUGAUGGUGAUAUUGGAACUGAGACUGACCCGGACUCCUACUCCAAGCGGAGGUGGGGAAUAUUGAUCUUCGGGGGUGACCCAGACUCUGACCUGCCACGUGCAUGAGAAUGGCCAUCGGUUUCGGAUCUUCUUUCUCUGAUGAAGAAGGAUAUUGAGUGAGAAACUGAACAAAUUGCCCUGAGUCGGUAACUAACCACCGGGGAACUGCUAGCUACCUGCCACCGUCCUAGGGAAGACGUAAGUCCCGAUCGUAGUCCCUGUUUAUUGGGGGUACAGCGGCCGCUAUUUGAUAGAUGAGUCUGAUCUUCGAGGCUGUGGCUUAAAUUGCAUUUCCUACUGAGACUGUUUAGUACUUUUGGGAAGGGUAAAAUUGCACUUGCAUGUGUGAAGUGCAUAUGCGUAUAUAUAUGUACGAACACCGGUGGCAACCCCGUGUCUCUGUACUGUCGCUGAUGUUCAAGCUCGUGAGCAUGAAAAGCGAUUAGGAUUACAGACACUGCUAGCUGUCAACGCAGACGAUGAGUGCAAUGUGCUUUGAUCCUUGCCGCCAGUAGCUG
rnacentral:rRNA from 1 species